rnacentral:rRNA from 1 species
AUUGAACGCUGGUGGCAUGCCUUACACAUGUAAGUCGAACGGCAGCACGGGAGCAAUCCUGGUGGCGAGUGGCGAACGGGUGAGUAAUAUAUCGGAACGUGCCCAGUCGUGGGGGAUAACGUAGCGAAAGCUACGCUAAUACCGCAUACGAUCUACGGAUGAAAGCGGGGGACUCGCAAGAGCCUCGCGCGAUUGGAGCGGCCGAUAUCAGAUUAGGUAGUUGGUGGGGUAAAGGCGUCACCAAGCCAACGAUCUGUAGCUGGUCUGAGAGGACGACCAGCCACACUGGAACUGAGACACGGUCCAGACUCCUACGGGAGGCAGCAGUGGGGAAUUUUGGGACAAUGGACGCAAGUCUGAU